AGAUACUCAUGAAGAGGAGGCGCAGCAACCGUCUACAAGAGCAAAAUCCAGUGAAAGAAUUCGCAGAAAAAGUCACAGAACCCCUAACAAGUGAUCCACUCGAUCGUAUAUCAUAUGCUCCCGAUAUUUAUAAUCCCGGAACUUCAAAAAGAGCAAAUAAGAAUAUACUAUUGGUUACCUCAGGAGUCGAAACUUCUGACACUAAUGAAGAAGCGAUAUCCUCUUGCCCUCCGAACAAACCUAAAGAAUCUAAAUCAAAAUCAAAACUAGAAUACACAGGAGAGGCCACAGAACCCCCAGCUACUGAUUCACUUCCUCUUACAUCAUAUGCUCCUGAUAUCGCUAAUCCCGGAACUACAAAAAUAGCAAAUAAGAAGGUAUUACUGGAUGACUCAAAAGUAAAAACUUCAGACACGGAUGAAAAAUUGAUAUCCUCUUGCUCUCCGAAAAAACCGAAAAAAUCUAAAUCUAAAAGAAACCUGUAAGUAGAUGCAUAACUUUCCGUCAUUAUUCAUUCCUCAAUACUUUAAGAAAAUGGUUAAUCGGGUUUAGACUAUUUCUAAAGAAAACUAACUUAUGAUAAUAUUUGUUUUAUUACAAAAAUUUAAUUAUGGAACUGAUACAACUUAAAAUUAAAAUCGACUAACUUAUUAUAUGUCAGUCUAAGUAGAGUUAGAUCACUUAAAGAUCUAUUUUUGAAUGGAAAAUUGCAUGAAUGUUAUUGUAAACCAGAUAAAAUUUUAUGUGCAGAAUUAGACAGACUAAGAUCAGAAGCUAAAUUAGAACUACCACUUUAUGCUAAUUACAAAAGCAACAAAUUUACCAUAUAUUAUCACAAUAUUACAUCAUUAAACAAACAGAAAAUCGUAGAUCUAACUUCAGAUUCAUUGUAUACAAAACACGAUAUAAUAAUCAUAGGAGAGGCAAACAUUGAAAUUGCAAAUGAAAGAGAUUUCCAUCCAUUCAAAAUAAAACAUAUAUCAAAAAGAUUAAACGAUAAUAAUCCAACAUUACUUUGCUUAAGUAAAUCAGAUAUUUUGAUCAUUAAAACAUUGAGAAAUGUAAAUAAAGCCUAUGCAUUUAGCGUCCUAGAUUUAAUUUUAUUCAAAAUAAAAUCAACAUUUGUGUUAACAGGCUACGCAUCACCAAGCUACCCCAAAACAAAAUUGAAAGAGAACAUCCAUAAAAUAACAAAAUUAAUGCCAAAUAAAGCAAAUUUUAUUCUGAUGGGUGACUUCAACUUAGACAAUUUACUAGAAAAGAAUCAAAAGUUUUUUCAAAGCAUUCUGCCCACUUAUAAUUUACAUUCAGCAUUCAACCAAAAAAUAAUCACAACAGAGAAGAGGACCCAAAUAGAUGUCAUAUAUACAAACAUCUUAAACUUCAAUGCUCAGACUUAUACAACAUAUUAUAGUUACCACCUCCCAAUCUAUAUACAAAUGUAAGAAAUAAAUAGAAAAUUGUUACUACUCGUCAAUAAAAAUAAAUAUUGAAUUUAAAAUAUGAAAAAAGAUAUUUGUUAUUUCAAUUCCCUAUUUUCCUAUGUUCCUGCAAUUUUUCCCUCUGCCAACAUUCAAUUCCUAAAAAAAAAAAAAAAAAAAAAAAAAAAACAUUCAAUUCCUAAUAAAAAAAAUAAAUAAAAUGGCGAGGUGCUACGGUGAACGCUCUCCAACGUCGUAACGUUGGAACCGACAACUUGUUUUUUUUACAUGAAAGCGCACUGUGUCCAUUGGCUCUCUGGAGGAAUAAUGUCACUUACUGCUGUCUAGCUUGAAACUACGUCAUUUUUUUCGUACUUACGUCUGUGUCAAAGCCUCGUUUUUAUAGGUAUAAUUAAGAUUAAUUUUGCUGUUUUAGCAUCUUCGGUGAUUUUAUCUUCAAAAGAAUAAACGAAUUUUGAAGGAAACUCGAUUUCGAAAAUGUGAUUGACACUUACUGCUCUCUUCGCAAUCACGGCAGUGAUAUUAAAAAAAGAGGAUAGAAAUUAUUACGUAUUACAAAUCGCCAUUUUGGAUGGGAAAUGUAUCGAAAUAGUGACGGAAGCUCGGCGCACACCGGGCUCGGAACUCGUCGACCAGAACAUGGCGCCAGCUCCCCUACUCUUUGGUCUCAGUACUCGCUUCUAAAAGAAAGGACAAAAUGAUAGGGGAAGGGGGAACCAUGCCCCCCCCCCCAUCGCUCAGGACCCCUCAGCCCCGUUACUCCGGCAUGGGUAGGCAUUACUCAAUACUCACGUCGAUCGGUUGCUUACAGUAGGGUGGAGCGUUUUUUAAAAAAGUUGUCGGAUCGAAACGGGCAAGCGAGAAUAGGUGCUCCAUAAGGUUACAAACAAAAAAGCAAGAGUAACAUUUUUUCGAAUUUUGACGUUUUCCGUGAGUACAUUAGGCCUAAACAUGGUAAAUCCAAAAUUCGAAUUUUCGGGCAAACGAAAAGUCAAUUUCAGCUGAAAUUGACGAUUUAGCGCCGAAGGCAAAAAUUUCGUCGGUUUUUGCGUAUCUUUAGCCGUAGAGGCAGU
rnacentral:lncRNA from 1 species